UCUAAUAGGUUUCUGGCUCAGUGCAAUGUCAAGGCUCAUUUUCAAAACUGAAGACAUAUUUCUUGCGGCUGACAGAUGAGCCUAUUGCUGGAGUACGAGUGAAACACUACUUUGUAAAUACCCACAUUCCAGAAAAUCAUUGCUGUAGGAUAAGGCAAAUGACAUGUUUGCUUUUAUAGGAACUGCCAUGUCUAGCUGUGAUGAUGGCACUGUACCGCCAUGAUUUCUGUGAAAAGGUUUAAAUUAGUUGGAUGCACAAGUUCCACUAAACUGGAUGAAAAUCACACACUAUAAAAAAUAUGUAAAGGGGCAGUACUGAUCCUUAUUUACCAAAAAAUAAAUGAAUAUUGAUUUUAAUUAUGAAA